UACGAAGGGGGCGAGCGUUGUUCGGAUUUACUGGGCGUAAAGGGCGCGCAGGCGGUCUUGAAAGUCAGGCGUGAAAGCCCCGGGCUUAACCUGGGAAUUGCGCUUGAUACUCUGAGACUGGAGUACGGGAGAGGGAGAGUGGAAUUCCCAGUGUAGAGGUGAAAUUCGUAGAUAUUGGGAAGAACACCAGUGGCGAAGGCGGCUCUCUGGACCGUAACUGACGCUGAGGCGCGAAAGCGUGGGGAGCAAACAGGG
rnacentral:rRNA from 1 species